AGUGAACGCUGGCGGUAGGCCUAACACAUGCGAGUCGAACGGCAGCACAGUAAGAGCUUGCUCUUACGGGUGGCGAGUGGCGGACGGGUGAGGAAUACAUCGGAAUCUACUUUUUCGUGGGGGAUAACGUAGGGAAACUUACGCUAAUACCGCAUACGACCUACGGGUGAAAGCAGGGGAUCUUCGGACCUUGCGCGAUUGAAUGAGCCGAUGUCGGAUUAGCUAGUUGGCGGGGUAAAGGCCCACCAAGGCGACGAUCCGUAGCUGGUCUGAGAGGAUGAUCAGCCACACUGGAACUGAGACACAGUCCAGACUCCUACGGGAGGCAGCAGUGGGGAAUAUUGGACAAUGGGCGCAAGCCUGAUCCAGCCAUACCGCGUGGGUGAAGAAGGCCUUCGGGUUGUAAAGCCCUUUUGUUGGGAAAGAAAAGCAGCAGGUUAAUACCCCGCUGUUCUGACGGUACCCAAAGAAUAAGCACCGGCUAACUUCGUG
rnacentral:rRNA from 1 species